CCGCACUUCCUCCACGCCCUCGGUGGUAGUGAGCCCAAAACACUAAACCUUAGAAAUUCGAAGCUGGAGCCGGAACUGGAGCCGCUAGGAUACGCCUUCCCGAAGCCUCCUGCGUUACCCCUAUAUGGAGUCACUUUUGUCCACCCCACGAUCUGGCAGCUCCCCUGGGGUCCCCCGCUACCGAGGCGCGCCCCGCUCCCCCCGGUACUAGCGAAACACAGAGCGGGCCGCGAGUCCGCGUGUCUCCCCGGGCCGCAAGCCCGCCACCCCGCCGGAGGAGGCUGUGGGUUCCUGGGCACCAGAGGUCAAGCGCAGGCGGCGCCUUGUAGCCCGGAGCUGAGCCCGGAGCUCCGGAUCCCCCGGAAGACUCCGGGCAACUCUGGCCCUGGGUCGGUCGCCGAUCGCCCGUCCAGCGGCUGCAGAGGCCCCAUGCGCCCGGCCGAGUCCGGGCCGCGCGGAGCCCCGGAUGCGCCCGCAGCGCGAGUGCGGCCCGGCCCAGUCGCGCGGAUCCCCGGCUCUCCCGACCUGGCUCCUUCUCCUCUCCAGGGGACCGCUGGGUUCCGGGUGCCCCGCCACACCGGGCCCGAAGCAGAGGAGAGUCCCCACUCACGGCUCGGCCACAGGGAUGGGAGUCCCUCCGUAAGGACCCGGCAGGCGGACACCGCACAGUCUUCCAGUUGCCAGCCAGUCAUGUGAAGAGGAUCUGAAGGCAGAGGAAAGACAGCAGGGGCAAAGGCAAGUCUAGACUUGGCAAACUGCAGGAACAGAAGCAAUCUUUGUGGUUGGAACAUAGCAGAAAGGAAAGAGAAGUAUCUUAUUUUGUUUUUACUAAAAGAUUGGUAAAAACAACCUUUAUGUUUUGGUUUUUAUUCUGUUUUAACAGUAAAGUGAAGGUCCUUGGGUUACCUUAAUUUUGUUGCAAGUUUCAAAAUUUUCAGAAUACAUAAUAUCAAUACCAACUUUGAUGACCUCUGUCUCCACUACCACUGGGAGCAGAGUACAAUGAAAUGGUUUUGUACUUUUAGUGUCCAAUAAGCAUUCUCUCAUCUAAAUGGACAGUGCCGUUGCUGAUUAACUUAUUUAUUCUUCUCAAACUAUAGUCUUAAUUCCAUUCUACUUUUGUACCUAUUUAUGCGCUCUUUUAUUCAACAUGUAUUGAAUGAUUAUUAUGUAUCAGGCAUAACAAGGUUCUAGAAACAAAGAACAAAUAGACAUGGGACUAAACACCUGCCGGAGAUUUAAAGGGAUGAAAAGGGAUGCUAAAAUGAACGAGAAAUACAAAAAUAUAUAUAUAUAUGUAUUCUUUUGGUGUUCUUCUACUUCACUUGUUAUUCCUUCAUAUAUCCUUUGGUUUUUGGUCCUCCUAUUCCCAGUUCUUACACUGGAGUGCCCCAGGGUUUAGAUCUUGACUUUCCUUUUUUCUAUCUUCAUCCAAACAUUUAGCUAUCUCAUCUAGCCUUACAGCUUUGAA
rnacentral:lncRNA from 1 species